UGUCACAUUAGAGGAGGACGAGGAAGAGAAGACUGGAGAACUGAUUAACACCAGUAAAUACAGAGAGAGACGUGACUAUCGUGGAUCCUCUGGGGGUCCUCAACAACAUCAUGAUGCUGAUGAGGCAGAAAAGAGUCUCUCCAGAUCAGAACUCCUCAAGAAACACCAGCGAGUACACACAGGAGAGAAAUCUAUCUGCUGCUCUGACUGUGGGAAAAGAUUCAGCUCUUCAGUCGACCUUAAAAUACAUCAAAGAAUUCACACUGGAGAGAAACCUUAUGGCUGUGAUCAGUGUGGCAAGAGUUUUACUACAUCUACCCAUCUGACUUUGCAUCAGAGAACACACACAGGAGAGAAGUCAUAUAGCUGUAAUCAAUGUGGGAAGAGAUUUUAUAAAUCAAGCCAUCUAACUAUACACCAUAGAACACACACAGGAGAGAAACCCUUUGGCUGUGAUCAGUGUGGGAAGAGUUUUUAUACAUAUAGCAAGCUGACUUUACACCAGAGAACACACACGGGAGAGAAAUCCUAUAGCUGUAAUCAAUGUGGGAAGAGUUUUUCUACAUCUAGCUAUCUAACUAUACACCAUAGGACACACACAGGAGAGAAAUCCUAUGGCUGUGCUCAAUGUGGGAAGAGUUUUUAUACAUCUAGCAAGCUGACUUCACACCAAAGAACACACACAGGAGAGAAACCAUAUAGCUGUAGUCAAUGUGGGAAGAUUUUUUCCACAUCUAGCCAGCUGACUGUACACCAGAGAACACACACAGGGGAGAAAUCUCAAAGCUGUGAUCAAUGUGGGAAGAGAUACACUGAUAAAAGAUAUCUGAUUAAACAUCAGAAAAUACAUGGGGUUGUUUCAUGAUAUCAAUGAAUUAAUGUCACAAUGUAAAAUGUUUUUACAUUGUAGGAGUAUUUGAUUGAAUUUGAACCCUGGGGCGGCAGGGUAGCCUAGUGGUUAGAGCGUUGGACUAGUAACCGAAAGGUUGCAAGUUCGAACCCCCGAGCUGACAAGGUACAAGUCUGUCGUUCUGCCCCUGAACAGGCAGUUAACCCACUGUUCCUAGGCCGUCAUUGAAAAUAAGAAUUUGUUCUAACUGACUUGCCUAGUAAAAUAAAGGUACAUUUAAAAAAAAAAUGUUUACCUCUUGUUCAAUUGAUCUUAGCCUCAGUGGAAAGAUCCAGGCUCUGAAUUGAAAGAGUUACUAUUUAUGUGAUUUAUCAAACAUUUACUAACAAAAAAAAGAGUUGUGUUCCACUUACCAAGUGGUUACCCACUUCAAUCAAAAUAUAACACUUCAAAAUGUGUUUUCUACAAAUUGUCCUCUAACCAGGGAUGUACACAUUAUUCCCAGAUUCCAUGUGGUUUUUGAGCUGUUAGUUUUAACAGAACGUCAUCUCCCUGCUCUCGCACAAUUGAUUUCAACAUGAUAUUGAUGAGUGAUGACAAAUAAGUGUUGCGUUCCUUUGUUUGGCGACCCCUAAAUUUAAAUGCAUCACUGUUGCUCUGCUUUUAGAAUAUCAGGGUUCAUUCUUAGAUGUGCCAACACAAAUCUACUAGAGCAUGACAUUGGGGACUGGGCCCCGAUCCAACAACAUGCCUAUCUAGUGAACCCUGAAAAGAGAGAGAAGCUCUGCAGUGAGUUGGAAAGUUACUACAGAUAUUGCAGGAGUUUCCUCUUGAAAUCAGACAAGUCUGUGGUAAGGACAACUUGGUUGCUGGUUGUCUCAAGGGUGGACAGUCAACAAUAUGUGUUUUGCAUUUAGCCAGUGUGUUACCAUGGAUCACAAUUUAUUUUGACAUGUUUUUCCUUAUUGGAGAUGAGAUUUUAUCUCUUUUUUUCUGUAUUAAAAAAAACUGCACUGUUGGUUCGGGGCUCGUAAGUAAGCAUUUCGCUGUAAGGUCUACACAUGUAUUCAGCUAAUACGUGAAUAAUACGAUUUGAUUUGAGUUUUGGGACGAGAGUUCUAGAAGCUAGUGAGUUUUAGGAUUCUAUUGAAAGAAAAGGAGAAAAAAAAUGCGAUUGUAUAUUAUUAUUUAGAAGUAGGUGCUUUUUCUUGUUUUUAAUUGUUGACAGCCAGUAGACACCAUGUUUAUAUUGUAGAAGGUGAAGUGUUGUAGUUCAUUAUAAUGUGAAAUGGAAGUUGUUUUUUAGUCAGUUGUUCAGCUGAAAUGUGUCUUCGGCACAUUGGUGUCACCCCGUUAGUCAGUAUGUGUUACACCUGUGCUGGCUUGUCCAUCUCGUUCGUGGAAAGGUGUUUCACCUGAGCUGGUCCAGGUUCUAUUUAAGAGUGUCUGGCCUAGUGCUCCAGUUGUCUUGAUAGAUGUGGAGAGUCAAUACUUUUGGUUUUCUUCCUGUCUAAGUUAGGUUUGGGUUUUUCUUUUGUUUGCCUCUUCUUGGGCAGAUUUAGUGGGUCUCAUGGUGGGUGUCUUUUAGGUCCCAGUUGUUGUUACUAGUCAACUUUCAGUGGAAUCCCCCAUAGUGUCUUUCAGAGCCCCUCCUAAAAAAAACAAGCUUAUAUUUUGGGGUUGGAUAUUGCGUCCAAUUUAUAUUUUAAUCAAUGGCAUUUCCUAAGAAUGCUCAUUAGUCUUUCAGUUAUUAUUGUUUGUGGACUAAAUAUUUUUUAUUUUAAUUGUUUUUUCCUGUGAAUCCGUUGUUGUAUAAAUAAAGCUUGAUUUGAA